ACAGCUGAGAACAAGCUGAAGAUGGGCCAUCAAGACCUGAAAGAGCGGUGAGAAGAAAUAGUUAAUGACGGGACCUUCCACGUGUUUGGUAUAUCAAGACAUCCUUUCACCUGUGUGGCCCUGCAAAAUAACAUUUGACAUAACUAACUUCCCAAAGAAACUAAAAGUUUCCACUUCGGGCAUUCAACAAAAUCUUGGGUGAUUUGACAGCAAACCUGGAUUCAUGAAGACCAUUAACUUAGAAGGGAAAAGCUGAAAAUAUAGUAGCAUAGAUUUCUCUGUGUGUCAGCAACUGCUUCAAAUCUUCAAAACCAUAGUAAUGUGCUUAACCCUUCUGGGAAAGUCUAAAAUGGGAUUCUGUUUCUGACUCCGAUAUUCUCUUGAGUAGUGUAAUUUUUAAAUCGUCUAAUUCCAUGGACAACAACUUAGGCUAUUCAUUUACAGCUUGCAGAAAGCAUCACUUCUCCAUUCUGUUGAAGUAACUGACAGUUGGGGCAGGCAUCGUGUGGUUCCAGUUCAUUAUUAUUUUAUUGGGAUUAAAAUAAUUAACUGAUAUACCUCAUUUCCUCAUCACACAAGUAAAACAAAAUAAACAGAACAAAACAGAUCCCUUAUGGAAAAAAAAGAAAAGAAAAGAAACAGACUGGAUUUCCAGUCUAGCAACGGCAGAUAUCUCUGAAAUACUAGUCUAUUCUGCUUUCACUGGAUUUCUGUUACAAAAAUUAGAGUCCUGAAUCUCAAAUGUACCUUACAGGCAGCUAUUAAAAUAACUCAGGAGUGCCGGAAGGAGAGUUUUCUCAUAGAACAGUUUUUGUUCGUGCUCAUAUCUCAGACAGCUUUAACUAAAAUGCAACAAUCUAAAAAUACAUACGUGUUACUCUGGUGCAGUGAAAUGGCCAUAAUUUUUAUUUACUUUUAGUUUCUUCCUGAAGGCAAAAAUCUGAAAGGAAACACCUGCAGACUCUGACUUGUAGUCUUUGACUUCUCUGGAAAUACGAUCCACACACUGGAGUUCGGACAGUUUCAUUUCAGCUUGGGUGAAGGCCUAAUUGUGAAGGGCUUUUUAAAUGGCCACCUGUUCUUCUCCGCUAGCGGCAACAGCUCAGCCUUCCUCCACUGCCAGCACCAGGACCAGCACGUCCCUUUACUGAGCUUGCACUGGCAUCUCUGCGGAGAUUGCUCUUCUGUCCACUGUAUAGGGGACACUACUGUUUUCCUGUGAUGUCCCAUGCCGGUACUCUGAGCACCUACCCAGCAGUCAUUGGCAAAGAUGCAGAGUGCAUGUUAUAGUCGGUUCCUUGGGUCUCAGAGACAAUUUUAGGCUGGAAGCCUCCUGGGUUCUAUGUCCUGCUUCAUGAGCGCAGAAACAGAGCUUCCAGAAGACUGAUCUUCCACCAAUGGGAGUAAGGAGUGGUGUUGCUGGGGACCGAGCAAGGAGUCGGGGAAGAAGGAGAAGAGACAAUACUUAACACACCACUGUCUUCCUGCCUCUCCUCAACUGCUCCUCGUUGACACAGAAGAAACCGAUGAGUAUAGAAGACGUGGUUUCUAAACUAAAAAUAGUAAUAAUUAUCACUUUACUGAUUUCCAGCCACAGACUAUGAUAAGUAAGAGUUGUCGCACCGCCUGGUCACUUACAAAAAAGCCAACAGCAGUUCGCGUAUGGGCAACUUUUUUGGAGCUAACAAUUAUAAGCAAAGAAUAAGAGUGGUGACUCAUCACCAAGAUGUUCAUUAGUCUUUCUUCAGCCUCAGCUGAUGUUGUUCCUAUAAAUAAGCAACUCCUGAAGCUCAAACCCCCUGCUGCUUAGCCUUAGAAACAUGCGCAUGCGCACUUGGUGCUUAAGCACUCCUUGCUUAGGCCACAACUCAGAACCCAUCAGCUCUCUCAUUCGCAUAACGUAUGUUUUUUUGCACCAAAUGAACUCAUAUUUUCAAAAUAACGUGCCUCGCCUUCUCGUGCUAUACAGAUCAAGGUGUCAUUCUUAUUUUUCCUUUUUCUCCAUCUCCCCAUCCUAGUCACCUAUCUGCCCUAUAAUAAAACAGUGACCAUUUUUGACUG
rnacentral:lncRNA from 1 species